rnacentral:tRNA from 1 species
GCCUGGGUGGCUCAGUCGGUUAAGCAUCUGACUUCAGCUCAGGUCAUGAUCUCGCGGUUUGUGAGUUCGAGCCCCGCAUCGGGCU